rnacentral:lncRNA from 1 species
GGAGGCCCGGGUGGGUACCCGGCGCUCCGGCUCCCAGUCUCCUGGGCUUCUCCAGUCCUUCAGCGCCGUUCUCCGGUCACAGGGAAUGAAAGCGAGGAAGAAGGAAACGGUGUCGAGAAUUGCGAAGAGAGAAAGCAUAGAAAACCCACAUUAGAGGCACUCCCAGAGCAGAAACCCUUCGGAGCAUCCCGACUUCCUCGGCCCGCGUGCAAUCCAGGCAAAAUUGAGGUUGUCUCUGAGCCGCCCUCCCUAAGCAGGUCGGAAAGCCCCCGAAUCAUCCCAGGUCCCGCCGCGCUGCACUCGCAACCUGGGGUGGAGGUCCCUCUAGUGGUUGGCACCAAACAAAAGUUCUGUCUUAUGAAGAGCCGAGGUCAGGAAGCAUUUCCCUGUGCCCAGCGCCAAGGUCUGGGACCUUAGGUCCAAGAAAAGCGUUGGCAAUGUCUGACCACAGGAAUGGGUUCUCGAACUGGGGAGGACUGAAGCUGGAGAUCUGGUCCAGCCCCUACCUCCAGCGUGUGGCCUGAACCCGUUUUGGUUGUACUGCUAUGUUGUGGCCCUGCCCAGGCCUCCAAGGACUGGCUGCUGUUAAGCUGUUUAAAAUCCCUGUAGGCCUCAGAUGGCAGCGACACCAGGGACUCGGCAUAGUCCCCAGCUCUGGCAGGAGUCACCACAGCCCUAGCCUUUAGUUCUCUACAGGCUGGAGUGUCGACAAACUCCACAGGACACAACUUUUUCAAACCAAAUUUACCCUCGCGGUCUGAAAUGACCAGUAGGCCCAGGAGAAUUUUAC